CGCGUGGGAACAUACCCUUUCCUGCGGAAUAGCUCCGGGAAACUGGAAUUAAUACCGCAUACGCCCUACGGGGGAAAGAUUUAUCGGGGAAGGAUUGGCCCGCGUUGGAUUAGCUAGUUGGUGGGGUAAAGGCCUACCAAGGCGACGAUCCAUAGCUGGUCUGAGAGGAUGAUCAGCCACAUUGGGACUGAGACACGGCCCAAACUCCUACGGGAGGCAGCAGUGGGGAAUAUUGGACAAUGGGCGCAAGCCUGAUCCAGCCAUGCCGCGUGAGUGAUGAAGGCCUUAGGGUUGUAAAGCUCUUUCACCGGAGAAGAUAAUGACGGUAUCCGGAGAAGAAGCCCCGGCUAACUUCGUGCCAGCAGCCGCGGUAAUACGAAGGGGGCUAGCGUUGUUCGGAAUUACUGGGCGUAAAGCGCACGUAGGCGGAUAUUUAAGUCAGGGGUGAAAUCCCAGAGCUCAACUCUGGAACUGCCUUUGAUACUGGGUAUCUUGAGUAUGGAAGAGGUAAGUGGAAUUCCGAGUGUAGAGGUGAAAUUCGUAGAUAUUCGGAGGAACAC
rnacentral:rRNA from 1 species